GAUUUCUGGCUUGAUACAUUUUGCCGGCCACGGUUUCGUGUGCUAGUGCUUGAUGUUCUGGCCAUCCUUCCAAUCGCUGUAUACCUUUCUUCAUUGAUUGGUGUAUGGUAUUGGAUCUUUUACUUUGAAAAAAUUAGAGUGUUUCAAGCAGGCUUUAUGCUAUGAAUACAUUAGCAUGGAAUAAUAAUUUAGGACUUCGGUUCUAUUUUGUUGGUUUCUAGGACUGAAGUAAUGAUUGAUAGGGAUAGUUGGGGGUGCUAGUAUUCAGCGGCCAGAGGUGAAAUUCUCGGAUUCGCUGAAGACUAACUUAUGCGAAAGCAUU
rnacentral:rRNA from 1 species